UACGAAGGGGGCGAGCGUUGUUCGGAUUUACUGGGCGUAAAGGGCGCGUAGGCGGCCCUCCUAGUCGCGUGUGAAAGCCCCGGGCUCAACCUGGGAAUUGCGCGCGAAACGGGGGGGCUUGAGUUCGGGAGAGGAGCGUGGAAUUCCCAGUGUAGAGGUGAAAUUCGUAGAUAUUAGGAAGAACACCAGUGGCGAAGGCGGCUCACUGGUCCGGUACUGACGCUGAGGUGCGAAAGCGUGGGGAGCAAACAGG
rnacentral:rRNA from 1 species